rnacentral:rRNA from 1 species
AUUGAACGCUGGCGGCAUGCCUUACACAUGCAAGUCGAACGGUAGAGGGGCAACCCUCGAGAGUGGCGAACGGGUGAGUAAUGCAUCGGAACGUGCCCAGUAGUGGGGGAUAGCCCGGCGAAAGCCGGAUUAAUACCGCAUACGACCUCAGGGUGAAAGCGGGGGACUCGCAAGAGCCUCGCGCUAUUGGAGCGGCCGAUGUCAGAUUAGGUAGUUGGUGGGGUAAAGGCCCACCAAGCCGACGAUCUGUAGCUGGUCUGAGAGGACGACCAGCCACACUGGGACUGAGACACGGCCCAGACUCCUACGGGAGGCAGCAGUGGGGAAUUUUGGACAAUGGACGAAAGUCUGAUCCAGCCAUGCCGCGUGCGGGAAGAAGGCCUUCGGGUUGUAAACCGCUUUUGUCAGGGAAGAAAUCUUCUGGGCUAAUACCCCGGGAGGAUGACGGUACCUGAAGAAUAAGCACCGGCUAACUACGUGCCAGCCGCCGCCGUAA